AUGAGCCGGGGCCGCGUCCGGCGGGCAGCUGGUAGCCCCGUCGUCGCCACCGCCGCCGCGCUGGUGCUCCUGCAGGCGGCCGUCCUGGCGCUGUCCCUCGGGUGCGAUGCCGCCGCGGUGACCGCCGACGCGGAGCCGGAUUACCGAGAGGCGCUGUCCAAGAGCCUGCUCUACUUCGAGGCGCAGCGCUCCGGGCGGCUGCCGUACAACCAGCGCGUGAGGUGGCGGGGGCAUUCGGGGAUCACCGACGGGCUGCAGCAGGGCGUGGACCUGGUGGGCGGGUACUACGACGCCGGCGACCACGUCAAGUUCGGCCUGCCCAUGGCCUUCACCGUCACCAUGCUCUCCUGGGGCGCCAUCGAGUUCGGCGACGAAAUCGCCGCCGCCGGCGAGUGGCACCACACGCUGGAGGCCAUCAAGUGGGGCACCGACUACUUCAUCAAGGCGCACACCGAGCCCUUCGUCUACUGGGCCGAGGUGGGGGACGGCGACACGGACCACUACUGCUGGCAGCGGCCGGAGGACAUGACGACGUCGCGGAAGGCGUACCGCGUGGACAAAGACAACCCCGGCUCCGACCUCGUCGCCGAGACCGCCGCGGCGCUCGCCGCCGCCUCCAUCGUCUUCCGCGCCUCCAACCCGCAUUACUCCCACAUCCUCCUCCACCACGCACAACAGCUGUUCGAGUUCGGGGACAGAUACAGGGGCAACUACGACAUGAGCAUCACGGAGGUGCGGGGCUUCUACGCGUCGGUGAGCGGGUACCGGGACGAGCUGCUGUGGGCGGCCUUCUGGCUGCACCGCGCCACCGGGAAGGAGGAGUUCCUGCGCUACGCCGUCGACAAGGCCGACUGCUUCGGCGGCGUCGGCUGGGCCAUGACCGAGUUCAGCUGGGACGUCAAGUAUGCCGGCCUCCAGGUCCUCGCCUCCAAGCUGCUGCUGGACGGCGAUCCGCUGGGCAAACAGGACCGGCUGGUGCUGGAGCAGUACAGGGCGAAGGCGGAGCACUACCUGUGCGCGUGCCUGCGCCUGAACAACGGCAGCAACGUGGACCGGAGCCCUGGCGGCAUGCUGUACGUCCGCCAGUGGAACAACCUCCAGUACGCCUCCAGCGCCGCCUUCCUCCUCACCGUCUACUCGCGCUACCUCGCCGGCGCCGGCGCCCGCCUCCGCUGCCCCGACGCGCCGGCGGUCCCGCCGUCCGAGCUCCUGGCCCUGGCGCGCUCGCAGGCCGAGUACAUCCUGGGCCGCAACCCGCUGCGGCUGAGCUACAUGGUGGGGUACGGCCCCCGCUUCCCCGCACACGUGCACCACCGCGCCGCCUCCAUCGUGUCGCACAAGGCGAACAACCGUUUCAUCGGCUGCAUGCAGGGGUUCGACAACUGGUACACCCACAAGCGGCCGAACCCCAACGUGCUCACCGGCGCCAUCGUUGGCGGGCCCAACUGCCGCGACGAGUUCAGGGACGACCGCACCAACUACGUGCAGACCGAGGCGUGCACAUACAACACGGCGCCCAUGGUCGCCGUCUUCGCCAGGCUGCACAACCUGUCGACGGCAGCGGCGGAGGAGGGGUGCCGCCCAGGGGCGGCGCUGGGGCUCUCGGCGAAGUGUAGAUAA
rnacentral:rRNA from 1 species